rnacentral:tRNA from 1 species
GGGCCAGUAGCUCAACGGUAGAGCGCCACCCUUGCAAGGUGGAGGCUAGGGGUUCGAAUCCCCUCUGGUCCA